GACAAGACGAGCGUUUGGGAUUAAAAAAAAACAAUGAAGAACUGAAGAACUGAAGAAAGAAAGACAUGAACAUCUUGGAUGACAAGGGGGAAAUUCUUCUCGUCUGGUAACCAAAUGUACACAUACACCCAUUCAAGCGGAUACGCUACUGGAAUUCCGACAAACUGGAAGACAUGGCUACUAACUCGGAAUUUACCUAAUGACUCAAGCUUUUUUUCCUUUUGCAUGUUUGGAUACUACGGAAUCUCUGAAUUCUCUGGAAAAAGUAUGAUUCGGCAACCUUAAAAGGCACGAGACGACUAUGAUAUAAAACUCCUGCGAACCUUCAAUCCGCAAACAAACUCUCUUUUUAUUUAUUUAUUUUUUUUUUUUUUUUUUUUUACAUUUAGUGACUCACCAAAUUCAUUGCAAAAUGGGCUCCACCUAUUACAUUAAGAAUCUUGGAUCUUUAAAUAUUGGAUGUAAAUGACAGCAAUGUGUUUUACAUGCAAAGGUGUUUAUAUAAAUCUACAAUUGAAUACAACACAAGGGUGGAGGAAGCCAUUAAACACUGGGCACAAAAAAAGGAACUGUGAUUUGAAUUAAGAACCAUUCUGUGUUUAAUUCAGUGCUAGAAAACCUUCUGUUAACCUGGUCCUACUCAUGUUAACACUUAUGGAACACUAAGGUAAUAUAAAACAAACACAUAAACCAUGACUUAUGGCUUGAAAGGUCAUUAGUAUAUAAUUUGUGGUAAAAUAUCACAAUUAUCCACACUUUUGGCACUGGAACAGUCAGUGAACCAGUGCCAAAACAAGAGGGGAGUGUCCGCUGACAGUGGCGUCAUGAUAUGCCUACAGAUGCAGGUUCCAUGAGUCAUAGGCUGUAUUUAUCUGUGUGUAUUGUUCUGCAAAGUCUAUCGUUGUGUUUUUGUGAACUUUUCCCCCUCUUUUAUUUUGAUACUUAUACAAAACAAAGUGUAUAUGAUUACUGCUUACCUAUGAUCAAAUGAAUAAAUUACUAAGAAAUGCAUUUAAUGCAACACAUCAGACAUUGACAUAAUAAAUAAAUGCAUAACUAAACCUCCAUUCCUUGAUUCUACACAUCACAUAACUAGUCUGGAUCUAAAUAAGAUCUAAUCUAGACUAGAUGGGUGGAUGGGCUUUGUGUGCGGUAUAUCAAAAUAUUUUGGUUUCUUUUUCUGUGGUGCUGAACUCAAUUCACCAGAACACAAGGGAAUUUUUUUAGGUGUAUGCAAUUGCAUCACUUCCUCAUUUUGUUAACUUCUUUGGAAUACUCAGAUAAAAGCAACCCAGGCUAGUAACACAGGUGACACAACAUCACUGCUACACCCUUUAUUGUUAUUAUUAUUGUUUACCUACAUUUUCUCUUCUGCUAGAAGACAGUGCCCUUGCAUUUCUAUUCAAUUCUGUCAGUCUGUUGACAAAAGCAUGGAUAUGUGUCUUACUAAAAAUAACAAGUUACUUCAUAUCAUGUUUAAAACUAUACAUGCCAAUGAAGCGUAACAUUUUGACUGCUGACAGAUGAAGUGAAUACUAAUAAUCUCUUCAUCACGGCACCUGUUAGUGGGUGGGACAUAUCAGGUAGCAAAAGAACAUUUUGUCCUCAAAGUUGAUGUGUUAGAAGCAGGAAAAAUGGGCGAGCGUAAAGAUUUGAGCGAGUUUGACGAGCCAAAUUGUGAUGGCUAGACAACUGGGUCAGAGCAUCUCCAAAACUGCAGCUCUUGUGGGGUGUUCCCGGUCUUUUUCCCUGACAUUGUUUAAGAAAUUACAGUCUAUACCAGGAAUGUACGUUUACAAGCCAACACAAGCAUGUAAGUUCAGUCACCUACAUCAAUGGCGAGUGUGUGGAGAGAGUCCAUACUUUCCGGUUUCUUGGUGUCUUCAUCUCGGACAACAUCUCAUGGACAGUGAACACCACAGCAAUUAUUAAGAAGGCCCAGCAGAGACUUUACUUCCUGAGAGUUCUCAGGAAGCACAAUCUGGACUCCAGCCUGUUGUUGACCUUCUACCGCACGUCCAUUGAGAGUCUGCUGACAUACUGCAUUACUGUAUGGUAUGGUAGCUGCACCAUAGCAGACAGCAAAAAAGAUCAUCGGCUGCCCUCUCCAAAUGUCCCUGCUGGACAUUUACACCUCCCGCUGCCUCAGCAGAGCUGAGAACAUAAUUAAGGACAGUUCACACCCUGCUUCUGAUCUGUUUAACCUGUUGCCCUCAGGAAGGCGCUACAGGUGCAUCAGAGCUAAGACAAAUAGAUUUAAAAAAAGUUUUUUUU